GCUGCUGUUGUUUGAAGGGCUGGGCCCCUUGCUGAUGCCGAGGGCCUGGCAACAGAUGCUGCGCCUGCUCGGCGAUCAGCCGCCGGAGCAGCU
rnacentral:tRNA from 1 species